GUGCCAGCAGCCGCGGUAAUACGGGGGGUGCAAGCGUUACUCGGAAUCACUGGGCGUAAAGAGCAUGUAGGCGGAUUAAUAAGUUUGAAGUGAAAUCCUAUAGCUUAACUAUAGAACUGCUUUGAAAACUGUUAAUCUAGAAUGUGGGAGAGGUAGAUGGAAUUUCUGGUGUAGGGGUAAAAUCCGUAGAGAUCAGAAGGAAUACCGAUUGCGAAGGCGAUCUACUGGAACAUUAUUGACGCUGAGAUGCGAAAGCGUGGGAGCAAACAGGAUUAGAUACCCUGGUAGUCCACGCCCUAAACGAUGUACACUAGUUGUUGUGAGACUUGAUCUUGCAGUAAUGCAGUUAACACAUUAAGUGUACCGCCUGGGGAGUACGGUCGCAAGAUUAAAACUCAAAGGAAUAGACGGGGACCCGCACAAGCGGUGGAGCAUGUGGUUUAAUUCGACGAUACACGAAGAACCUUACCUGGACUUGACAUAGUAAGAACCUUCUAGAGAUAGAUUGGUGUCUGCUUGCAGAAACUUAUAUACAGGUGCUGCACGGCUGUCGUCAGCUCGUGUCGUGAGAUGUUGGGUUAAGUCCCGCAACGAGCGCAACCCUCGUGUUUAGUUGCUAACAGUUCGGCUGAGAACUCUAAACAGACUGCCUACGCAAGUAGGAGGAAGGUGAGGACGACGUCAAGUCAUCAUGGCCCUUACGUCCAGGGCUACACACGUGCUACAAUGGGAUAUACAAAGAGCGGCAAUACGGUGACGUGGAGCAAAUCUUAUAAAAUAUCUCCCAGUUCGGAUUGUAGUCUGCAACUCGACUACAUGAAGUUGGAAUC
rnacentral:rRNA from 1 species